GUUAAUGUAGCUUAACCCAAAGCAAAGCACUGAAAAUGCUUAGAUGAGUAUAUAUUAGUACUCCAUAAACA
rnacentral:tRNA from 1 species